AUGAGAAUCAUGCAGUCCUCUGGCCCAAGAAGCAGAGUGCUACUCUGGACGAUCACCAUGGAGAGACUGCACUGGCAACAUGCCCACCGCUCCAAACGCACACAUGCUUCUGAGAACUGAUGUGGUUUCCACUGACUCUUGGAGGUGUAAGUGCCAGGGGAAUUCUGGCUGACUCAGACCAUUUCCACACUGAAGGGCUUUUAGGCAUGUAAUUUCUGGUCUGCUUAUAGCUUUGACUUAACUUCACUGCCUUCUCAUACAUUAAUUUAUCACUGUCGUUAUUGUUGUUUUGGGAUCCUCACGGCCAUCAUAGGCUGACCCCUUGAUUAAAGUUAAACCUUUCAAUAGUUUUCUGUAGGCCAGGGGAUGAACUGGGGAAGAUCACCACCACAGAACGAAGCUCAAAUGCAAAUCGUAUUACCACAUUGCGAUGAAAACCGUAUUGACAUAUCAAGCCUUUCGGCAUACUGUCAUGCAUAGGUUUGUCCAUUUGCAUGGAUAAGUCGUUCUCUAUAUUCAACUUUUUAAAAAUUUUUUUAAUGUUUACUUAUUUUUGAGAGAGAGAGAGUGCAAGUGAAGGAGGGGCAGAGAGACGGGGGGUCAGAGGAUCCAAAGCAGGCUUGUGCACUGACAGUAGAGAGCCCUAUGCAGGGCUCGAACUCAAGAACCAUGAGAUCAUGACCCGAGCUGAAAUUGGAUGCCUAACUGACUGAGCCACCCAGGUACCCCUAUAUAUUCAUCUUAUACAGAAAAAAAAGAAGGUUAGCACCAACUGAUGUUUUCACCAAUUUCCUUUUUGCUCUGUUCCAAUCUGUGCUAAGGGGGACAACAGAUGAUAAGGAACCAUACCAAAAUUUCUUGUUUGAAGGUUGCUUACACUAAGACUUUUGAAACGAUGCUGAAAGGAGCAUUGGACGAGUGAUAUGUUACAUAUCUUGGAAUGAUUUAUAUUUUAGCCUCCUUACAAUGACCUUAAUUAUUAUAAAAACGAUAAAGUUGGUCAUGUAGAAAACUUAACGUCCCAGUGGAUGACCUCAUGAAUUGGUUCAGC
rnacentral:lncRNA from 1 species